rnacentral:rRNA from 1 species
AACUUUUAACGGUGGAUCUCUUGGCUCGUGCAUCGAUGAAGAACGCAGCCAGGUGCGAUAAGUAGUGUGAAUUGCAGAAUUCAGUGAAUCAUCGAAUCUUUGAACGCAAAUCGCGCUCUUGGGUUU